GUGGGAGGGGGCUUGCUCCCGAUGGCGGUGCAUCAGUCAGUCAUGAUGUCGACUGACCCACCGCUAUCGGGAGCAAGCCCCCUCCCAC
rnacentral:misc_RNA from 1 species